AUUGAACGCUGGCGGCAGGCCUUACACAUGCAAGUCGAACGGUAGCACGGACGAUCGCACUUGGUGGCGAGCGGCGGACGGGCGAGUAAUUCAUCGGAGCAUGUCUUGCUGUGGGGGGUAGCUAGGCGCAAGACAGAUUAAUAAAGCCUACGUAAUAUGGCUGAACGAGGGGGAGGGACGGGCCUCGCGCUUUCGGGCUGAUUGAUGCAGGAUUAGCUAGUUGGUGGGGUAAAGGACUACCAAGGCGACGAUCAGUAGCUGGUCUGAGAGGAAGACCAGCCACACUGGAACUGAGACACGGCCCAGACUCCUACGGGAGGCAGCAGUGGGGAAUUUUGGACAAUGGGCGAAAGCCUGAUGCAGCAAUGCCGCGUGUAUGAAGAAGGCCUUCGGGUUGUAAAGCACUUUUGGCCGGAAAGAAAGGCGUAACCCUAAUACGGUCGGUGAAUGACGUUACCGGAAGAAGAAGCACCGGCUAACUACGUG
rnacentral:rRNA from 1 species